rnacentral:rRNA from 1 species
AAGGUAGCGAAAUUCCUUGUCGGGUAAGUUCCGACCUGCACGAAUGGCGUAACGAUCUCCACACUGUCUCGGCCAGAGACUCGGUGAAAUUGAAGUCGCGGUGAAAAUGCCGUGUACCCGCAGAAAGACGGAAAGACCCUGUGCACCUUUACUAUAGCUUGACAUUGGGAUUUGAGCCUGCAUGUGUAGCAUAGGUGGGAGGCUGUGAACUCUGUACGCCAGUAUGGAGGGAGCCAUCGUUGAAAUACCACCCUUGUUUGUUCAGGUCCCUAACUCUUCGCCGUGAUCCGGUAAGAGGACAGUGUCUGGUGGGUAGUUUGACUGGGGCGGUCGCCUCCCAAAAUGUAACGGAGGCAUGCAAAGGUUCCCUCAGGCUGAUUGGAAACCAGCCGUCGAGUGCAAACGCAAAAGGGAGCUUGACUGCAAGAGAGACAUCUCGAGCAGGUACGAAAGUAGGUGUUAGUGAUCCGGUGAUCCCGAAUGGAAGGGUCAUCGCUCAUUGGAUAAAAGGUACGCCGGGGAUAACAGGCUGAUCGCAUCCAAGAGUUCACAUCGACGAUGCGGUUUGGCACCUCGAUGUCGGCUCAUCACAUCCUGGGGCUGAAGCAGGUCCCAAGGGUACGGCUGUUCGCCGUUUAAAGUGGUACGCGAGCUGGGUUUAAAACGUCGUGAGACAGUUUGGUCCCUAUCUUCUGUGGGCGUAGGAGAAUUGAAAGGGCCUGUCCCUAGUACGAGAGGACCGGGAUGGACACACCACUGGUGGACCUGUUGUCGUGCCAACGGCACAGCAGGGUAGCUAUGUGUGGAAGGGAUAACCGCUGAAAGCAUCUAAGCGGGAAGCCUGCCUUAAGAUAAGUUCUCCCUGACGCAAGUCCUGAAGGGCCGAGGUAGACGACCUCGUUGAUAGGCUGGAGGUGGAAGCCCUGUGAGGGGUGGAGCUGACCAGUACUAAUAGCCCGAGCGGCUUAUUUUU